AACAGCAGCGACAGAUCAACAACAGAACCAGGAUUCGUACAUUAUCAGAUAUUCACGCAACAUUACCUUAUCAGAGAGCACGCGAUCAGUCCAGAGGAUUAAUAUCCAAAAAGGGUGUAAACCUGGUGUAAACAGUAAAUACAUGCUGAAAUUAUUGUUGCGUGGCUACAUAAACGUUUAAGCAUAUGUGAUGCAUUGCCGCGAUUGGUCUGACUGGCGCGUGAGAGAGACGAGGGUGCAUGCGUGUGCACAUGCAUCUGCAAGAACCGACAGAUGGAUGACAGGUGAGUAGUCAUCAGACUGCUUACAGUGGAGAGAGGAACGUGAUUUCGCUCCACUCCAGGCUUGAUCACAUCCCACUUAAAAAGCUGCCUGUUGAGUUUUGUGCCCAUACGCUGCAGGAAUGGGCACCGGGCGUCUGUAUCCACGGCCCCAGUCACCCUCUCCUCUGCACCGAGCGCUGAGAGUCCAGCAAGAUGGUCAGAAGGGGGCGUCAUGGUAACACAGAGUGUAUGGCUGGACCAGAUUAUUUGAUUAUUUGAAUAUUCGUACGAAAGCCCCUCGGCCAGAGAAUCCUAUUCAACAUCAUUCCCUGCUUGCGGUGCCUGGAAAUUGACUGGCCUGAGCAGUGCAGGGCAGUUUCACAACAGACACUGGGUGACUCCACCCUGACGGCUCACUCCUCUCCAUGAUGCAAACAUUUUGGCUCUAAAGGAGUUGGUAUGGUGAUUCAUGGAUGGAUAAAGGAAAAAAAAUGAAGAAAUUCAAAACUGAUGGAGAACAAUCAGCUAGAUCAGGGGUGGGCAUUACUGGUCCUGCAAAGUUUAGCUCUAACCCUAAUCAAAGGCUGUUUCUCAAUAUGCGUUCUUCAGCGAUCUUGCGUCCUUGUGUCCUCGCUCUACGUCAUCAUUAACAGUCGAAGUUCAAUUCCAAUUCUCAAGAACGCAAGUACAGAGGACGCAUGAAAAUACCUGGAUGAGUUCUUGAUAUCGAGGAUGCAUCGAGUGCAGACUUGCGCGCUGAAAUCCGGGGAGGUCACGUGACCAGCAGGAAGAUCGCACACAUCUCAAUUCUCACAAGUGCGUUCUGUGUUCUCGCGACCUUCUGAGUUCGUUCUUCCGAGGUCGCCUGGCAAGACCAGUCUCCACGAGAACACAAGUCCGUUCUUUGCGUUCUUGGAAUUGAGAAACAGCCAAAGGCUGCAGGAUGACUUGGAAAUGACAUUCAGGUGUGUUCGAUCAGGCUUGGAGCUAAAGUUUGCAGGACAGUGGCUCUCCAGGACCAGGAAUGCCCACCCAUGAGCUAGAUGCAUGCUGUAAUUAUAUGGAGCUUUUCUAUCCACUUGUUAAGUCAUGACAUAAGGAAUACUUCUUCCAGGUCCACUCAUUUCAAUAGUUAUAUUGUAUAUUAAAUAUUACACAUUUAAGUGAAAAUUGCAUAAAUUCACAAUGUAAUGUACACUGCAGUCUCGAGGCUUACGGAAUUACCAACAGCAAUAUAUUAAUAAAUAAUAAAUAAUCAACAUCCACGAGUCAAUGUCUGACCAUCUUGGAUUUUGUUAUGGAAAAAAAUUGUGAUUGGUUGUUUUAGGUAGUUUUGCUCAAGCUCUCUGAUGAUAAACAGUCCUAAAAUGAUAGCAAAAGAGUUAAAGCUGCUUAAUGUUAUGAAGCUUAUGCUUGUACAGGAUGUGUUAUUCAAAUACUUAUUUGCAGCUGUAUCAUACCAAUAAAUAGUUAAAAAAUCAUACAUUGUGAUUUCUGGAUUUAUUUUGGAUUAUGUCUCUCAAAGUGGACAUGCACCUGCGAUGACGAUUUCAGACCCCUCUAUAAUUUCUAAGUGGGAGAACUUGCAAAAUAGCAGGGUGUUCAAAUACUUAUUUUCCUCACUGUAUAUGACAUGAGGUUAUGCGAGUUCCUGUGAUCACUUUGUUUAUAGUCUGUAACAGACCCAAAAUCAUCUCUGCUGCAUAGUUGCAUUUUUUUCCAGUUGCAUUUCAUCUGUUACUGUAGUUAAUGUAGUGAUGUCUUUUAUUUCUUGGGCUAUGGCAUUUCUGCGCAGUGCCGGAGAUGUUAGUAUGUCUUUAAUAAGAUCAGUCACAAACAUGAUUCCUGCACGAUCUAAUGUGUUGCGUAAUAUAAACUUACUGUCAUGCAUUUUGUGCAACACUUUUUGUCUCCCUCUUUGCGUUUUGUCCACUUUCCCUGUUGCUAACGAAACUCUUAAGCCUCUUAAAAGUCCUCAUCGAUAUUCCUAACAAUUUUGGGCCUUAAGACCUCUUUUAAAGAAAAGAUGCUUUCUGAAUUACUCAUUUCUUCUUUUCUUUAAUUCUAAGGGGAAAGAAUUUUCUUAGAAUUUUGUCACUAGGAGCAAAUCUUUGCCGAUUUUUCAUGAAUACGGGCUCUGGUUUUACUUAAAAAACAUUUUAGAGAUAUGAGAGGUCUCACAGACACACAUCAGUUCAACAUACCACAUAAUUCAAAUCCACAGCUAGAAACAUUCAUCUGCAGUAAGAACAUUAGAUCGUAGGGUUGUGCUGAUGGUGAUGCCAUGCCCCCACCCCACUCCCCUGCGAGUCAACAUACACCAACUCUCUUCUAUAGACUAUAGUUAACCUAAAAUCUUGGCGGGAAUUGCUCUUUACAUUCAAUUGAAAAUAUAACUAAUGCAUAUAUAUGCUGUUUUAAAUACUGUAGUCUAUGCCUGAGACGCGACGUGUGUUAGUCUGUGAAAAUAUCCUGUCAAGCUAGAUCUUGACAUUGCUAGAAUCUAGGGCUGCAGCUAUCGAUUCUUUUUGUAAUCGAUUAAUCUAGCACUGAAUCGAUCGAUUAAUCGGAUAAAAAUGUUGUGUGUGUUUUUAAACAACCAAAACAAAUAAUGCAUAACGAAAAUGACGGGGCUGUAAAAUGUUCAAGCAUUUGGCUUUUAUUUCUAAAAAAAAAAACAGGUAUUUGGCAGAAAUACAUACAUUCCUUUUCAAUAGAACGCUGCAUUUGGUUUGCAUCACUUGCAUUGCGGUGCAUUUUAGGUUAAGAAUCCGUUCGAAAAAUCA